UACCAAGUCACUUAUUUACACAUUUGUUACUUUUUGCCUUUGUUAUAGUCUCUCCUCUAUGGCUUCCCAAAAUCACACCUAUCCCAAGUCCAUCCUGCUUAGAACUCUGCAGCAUGCCCUUUCAUCCAUUCAUACCAAUGUCACAUCAUGCCCAACCUGAAAGACUUCCACUAGCUCCUUAAUCACUACAAAAAUUAAUUUAAUUGUACCAAGACUCUGCAUUGCAAUACUCCAUUUACCUCUGUGAAUUCAAUUGCUUUCUUUGCUCUACUAGUUGUGACGACCUUUCAGACCUCAGCUCCCGCUUUUGGCAGAGGUUGUUCCUUUUCUGUUGCUUCACUGGUUAUUUGGAACACAAAAUCCACCUCCUUUCCUACCCCAGUUCUAGUCUCCACCUUUUCUCAAAAUGCAACUCAGAGCCUCCUAUUCUGUAUUACCAACAUCUGAGUAGUUAUUGGUCAGUUCCGUCAUGCCAGUACUUAGUAUUACCCAUGACUGGGGUAAGAAAAUCUGAAGCAGUCUGCAAACCUUUUUGAUUUAACCCUCCAGAUGCAACAUUCUUUCUCUAGCUCUUUCCCUCCCUCUAUUUCAGCCCCAAUUCCUGAGCCAGUUGGAUGCAGAAAAGGGAUCAGGUGCAACACGGCAUGAGGAACAGAUAACACAUAGAAAACUGAUGUGUGGUUGCAGAAUUUUAGGGGAAUCUGACUCUCAUUGUUGCUGCUUAUGGCACACUCACCUGCUUCUGGCAGUUUUCUUGGUUAAAAAUCUGAUCAGCAGAACUGAUGGGCUAAAAUUAUUUUGAUUUGUCAAAAAUUGGAGGCCAUUUACCCAAUGUACGUCAUGAAAGAAAUUAAUAUAAUUUUUGGAAAACUAGAUUGAUCAGUUUGAUAGGGUGUUAUCCCUUUAAGAGGAAGGGGGUGCUGGGAACCCUAUCCAAUAUAUAAAAUAAGAGAAUUAACAGAUUGGAGGGAGUCUGGGUCAAGGUCUGAUAAGAUAUGAAGGUACUGCAGUAUGGGAUGCAGGCCUCUGUGAAGGGAGCCUGGUCUGGAGGUGCAGGUUAUAUCUAAGUUGUUGGGUUUUUUAAUUGUUGCUAUUAAACUGGGAUUUGCUCUUCUAUUUCUUGAGUCCUUCCAUUUCUUACUCUGGGAUGCAUGUGACCGUACAUCACAAUUAUUAAUCGGUGACCUAUGUGGAAGAAAUUUCAGAGUUCAAAUUUCAGAUUUUUUUCUGUAUUCAGCAGCCCUGAAUUAACAAGUAUACUAAAUAUCCAGACUCUAGCCAAAGUGUCUUUAAUUGAUUAAAAUCAUGUAAGACUGAUUACCUUUUGAUGACCCCUGCUGGAAAGGGUGAAAUUGAAAUCUGAGAUCAUUUUAUUAGUACUCAUUGGCUCUGUCACCCUGUCUGGAGUGGUUCACAACUAUGAGUGACAACCUCAGGGCAGAGUGUCAAAAAGCAGGGCAAACACCUCAAACUGUUGAUAUGUUCUAUAAGUAGAUUUCAUCAACCCAGCAACAAAUGUUAACUCAUGAAGCACUAUAACAGACUGACCAUGGAGUCACAGAUUUCAGUGUACCUUGCCACCCAGGCAAGCUGGACUUAGUGAUAAAUGGUCAUUUACACCAAAGAUCACAAAAUAUCCAGGUUGCUCCCAGUCCCAAGUGACCAGUCUCUUACCUCAGGUCAAUUUGUACUUUAGAUCUCCCCCAAAGAAACUAUGAGUGACAACCUCAGGGCAGACUGUAGCCAAUCCUGUAAUAAACUAACAAAAGGUUUAUUAAGUAGGAAAAAGCAAUAAGAGUUAUUUACAGGUUGAAGCUGGCAACAUAUAUAUACAUAUGAAUUACCAUCUGUGGUUCCAAAAGGUGACAGAGAUGUAAUGUCAGCACGGAAUGUCUUUUAGGGCUAAUCCAGGUUGACCACAGGGAUCUCUUCUUUUUUUUCCCUAGCCCCAGCCCUAUCAGAAUUCAUACAGUAAAUCUCAUGUCAGAGACCUUUAUUUCCUUCUUCCUUCUUCUUAGCUUGAUGGGAGAAGCUUCCUUGCACAUCGCACCUUUACAGGUGUGAGAGGGCCAUUAGCCUGUUCUUUUAUCGUGAUUCUUCACAAUGGCCCACUUAGUUUUGAUAGUCCUCCUUGAGGGGUGGGAGAACCACUUCUCUUGCCUUAGUUCACAAGUUCAGAGCAGGCAUUUUUACAGUUAUAAAGCAAAACUUACAUAUUACCUUAUUGCAUGGGAUAGAUCCAUUACAAGUAAGAUUAAUAUAUACAGCAACUUACAAGCAUUUUAUAGAGUCUAAACACAUCCUUAUAAUGCCAAAAAAGUUCUCUAGAUUAAUGAGUGUGAAAAUAUUUUGAUUUCAGAAAUAUUCUCUAGUAUGUAAAAUGUGGUCAGUUUAUUUUUAUUUUUAGAGUAUCAUUUUUAAUUAUGAUAGGAGAAAAAAAUCCACAGAUUUUUCAUCUCACACUGUAGUUAGUGUAUGUAAAGCAAUAUCUUUAUUUAUGAAAAUAAAUCAUGAAUACAGAAUUCAUUUUAUAAAAAUACUAACUCAAAACUAUUCCAAACAAAAUUUAGAUAAAACUUGUACAUUCAAAUUAAACAUUAAAUUUAUAUAAUUAUUUAUUAUUAUUCUAAUAUAAUAUUUAUAUUGCAGUAGUGCGAAGACUUAGGAUCAGAGCUCCAUUAUGCUAAUUUCUGUACAAACAGAUACGAAGGCAUAGUCCCUGUCCAAAGAGUUUACAAUCUAACAUAGUUUGACAAUAAAUAUUACUCUGGAAUUAUAUAAAAUAUGUACAUUCUGUUUCCACAAUAAAUAUGUUGACAUAAAUAUACAGUUGUUGACAUAAAUAUAUUGUAACAGUGGUUUUCAGCCUUGGGUCUAAGAUUUCCAAAGGGGUAACACCUCAAUUCGAAAUUUUUUAGAGGUCCACAAAUGAAUAAAGAUUGAAAACCAUUGUGCUAUGACAUUGAUACAAUAAAUAUACUGAGCCAUAAUGGGUGCCAUAAAAAUGCAGUUGGGCCCUGAUUCAGGAAAGUACAUUGACAGCCAUGGGAGUGACAUGUAAGUAUUUUCUGAAGUGCUUUUGUGAUUUGAGGCUGUAAUGAUUAGGACAGUUUUUAUUAUCUGUUUUCAAAGAUGUCAACAGACAGAACUCUGAAUUCUACCAUCUAAUAUGCAUUUUAAAUAAUUUUCAUACACAGGAUUUAAUUUUGACUGUUUAAAAAGAUACUAAAUACUAUAAUACCUCAUGAAAGAAUAAGAUGGAAUUCAUUAUUUUAGUUGCCCCUUUCAUUCUGCAACAUAGUUUGAAUGCUAUGGCUUUAUAUAAGUAUAAAGGCACCCUCUAAAAUAAAUAAAUAAAUGCACUAUAAAUUUAAGUUACAAACAUUUGGUAUGUUUUCGAUAUUCACGUUAACGUUGUGUGUGUCUUUAUGUAUUUCCAUGGUAAUUUUGCAGUAUUUUUUCUUAAUACUUAAUAAUGUUACCUAAACCAUACAUCCAACUAGAAUGGGUUGCUCGUCUCAGUUCAUUGGGAUUUAAUGCAAUUAAAUUCAUUCAGUCUUUCAAAGAACUUUUUAUAGAAGGGCAAUGCCCUCUUCAGUCCUGCUUCUUUUGUCUCACAGCGUUUAGACGAAUUUACCUAGAAAAAUUAAAGAGUUAAUAUUUGUGCUGGCUAUAAACAGUCAACAUUUUUU